UUGAGGAUACAUCCUACAUGAAAAAUUCCUUAAUUGCCGUGCAGACAUCAUCACCAGUGAUACUCCAAGUUCUUUUUAAAAAAAACAUGAUGAAUACCCAUCGGGCCUAGGGGCCUUAUCAUCCCCUAUAUCAAACAGGGCUUCCUUGAUUUCCUCAUCAAGCACUGGCCUAAUGAGGUUGGAGGCUUGAUCCUCAGAUACAAAAUUACCAACUAAAAAGAUCUCACUAUUUAUUCUAUUGCACUCCUUCUUUGUUCCCAAUAGCUUUUUAUAAUACUCCACAAAUAGUGAACUUACCUGCUGGGGGGAAG
rnacentral:lncRNA from 1 species